CCCACACAGGAGACAGAGGAAUCGACCCCGAGCUCCCAAACUCAGGGGUUUAUAUAGGGGAGUGCAGGGCUAUCUGAGAGGUGCCUGGUCCCAUGCUGCACGGAAGUGAGACAUCCAGGUGACCACUGUGCUGACAAAGCUGGGAUCACAUUGCCAGUCCACCACUGGGAUCUACUCAGUAGUCACGAGAUUCCCCGAAGCUGGGCCUGCUGGGCUCUGUCAGCGUCCAGCAUCCAUCUACGAGCACCCAGGUGUCUCUGCAUCAUCGCCCUGUGAUGCUUCUAAAUCUCACUCACCAGGAUGCUCCUGCAGCAAGGAGGUCAGGCCUUCCAGAGGGCUGCCUGGGGCUUAAGUCGACGGUGGACUUCAUCACCACUACUUUACGGUACAUGCAGGUGCAGUCACAUGAUAUGUUUAACUUGUGUACUUGUCCAUGUGUACAUGCAUGUGUUGUUUCAACUUUAUGUGUAUGUAGUGUGUGUUUACACAUGUAUUUCAGUCUCAAAUGUCAUUUCACAGGUGCUGAACACCUUGACUUUUGGACACCGGUUUACUCAAGGCCGUCGAGGUUGAAAUGCACCUGUCUUAGCUGGAUGGUGGUGGCACAUGCUUUAGUCAGGAGGAAGAAGACAGGGAUCUCAGUUCUGGGAUAUCCUGGUCUACAGAGCUGUAGAUGUCCCGCUCUUGUCUUGCACCCCAGCCAAAUCCCAUUACCGACCUGAGGGCCAGGAACAGCAGUGUGUCUAUGCAACUUCCUCCAGGGACAUUUCCGGGCAGCCCAGGCCAUCUUCAGUGUUCCAUGAAUCCCAGUUUAAGAAAGAGCACGUGCGACCUGCCUGACUGGAAUUUGUGUGCAAGAAGAGACGGGGACAGAGACACAGACAGAACCUCACAGUGCAUGGACGUCAAGGAGUCAUCAGGAUGCGAGGCCAGAUCUCCAACCCAGGCUGGCCAGAGUCUCCGGGAAGUCCUCGUUGGUUUUGUCUGAUUAGCUAGCCUGUUCCAGAGGCUGAAG
ensembl:lncRNA